CUAGUCCACCGGAAGAAGGCCCGCGUCUCGCCGGUGGUCUGCUACGAUAUACAAUUGAUGACUUUUCUGACUUCAUUGUCUUGUGAGCACGACUACUUCAGCCUUGUCGUUCUCCAGUCACUCACAUCACGUGAGAAGGGAUGCUGCCCAAGCUGACAAAGAGGCGAACAUCUGUGAACAAACUUGACCUCAUUAGAGCUUGGGAUCUAUUUCCCGAUCUCCUCACCGCC
rnacentral:lncRNA from 1 species